GGCUCCAUUGUGUAGCGGUUAGCACAAUGGACUCUGAAUCCAGUAACCAGAGUUCGAGUCUCGGUGGUGCCU
rfam:Schistocephalus solidus strain NST_G2 genome assembly, scaffold: SSLN_scaffold0008837